CCUCUCAAAACUGAUGAAAUUCUUGCUUAUAUACUUGCUGGCCUUGGUCAGGAGUAUGACUCAUUAGUCUCUACAAUUACCUCUCGUUCUGAUGUUGUCACCUUGGAGGAGCUUUAUUCUCUGCUUCUUAUUACUGAGU